rnacentral:rRNA from 1 species
UACGAAGGUGGCAAGCGUUGUUCGGAUUUACUGGGCGUAAAGAGCGCGCAGGCGGUCGUACAAGUCGCGUGUGAAAGCCCCCGGCUCAACUGGGGAGGGUCACGCGAUACUGUUCGACUCGAAGGCAGGAGAGGGAAGUGGAAUUCCCGGUGUAGUGGUGAAAUGCGUAGAUAUCGGGAGGAACACCAGUGGCGAAGGCGACUUCCUGGCCUGUUCUUGACGCUGAGGCGCGAAAGCUAGGGUAGCAAACGGG